rnacentral:rRNA from 1 species
UAUAUGCUUGUCUCAAAGAUUAAGCCAUGCAUGUCUGAGUACAGACCGAUCUAAGGUGAAACCGCGAAUGGCUCAUUAAAUCAGUCAUAAUUCCUUGGUAGUGAACAACUUUCCUCGGAUAACUGUGGAAAAUCCAGAGCUAAUACGUGCAAUUGAGCUCCGACCACGGCGCAAGUCGUGGGAAGAGCGCAUUUAUUAGUAAUAAAACUGGCCGAUGUACUCCUUCGGGAUAUAUCGUUUGUCAAAAGUUUAUGAUGACUCCGGAUAACUAAGCAGAGCGCUACGGUCUUUAGUACCGGCGCCGUAUCUUUCAAGUGUCUGCCUUAUCAGCUUUCGAUUGUAGGUUAAACGCCUACAAUGGCUGUAACGGGUAACGGGGAAUCAGGGUUCGAUUCCGGAGAGGGAGCCUGAGAAACGGCUACCACAUCUAAGGAAGGCAGCAGGCACGCAAAUUACCCACUCCUAGCCCAGGGAGGUAGUGACGAAAAAUAACGAUGCGAGACUCUUCCGAGGCCUCGCAAUCGGAAUGAGUCCAUUAUAAAUGUAUGGACGAGGAUCCAUUGAAGGGCAAGUCUGGUGCCAGCAGCCGCGGUAAUUCCAGCUUCAAUAGCGUAUAUUAAAGUUGCUGCGGUUAAAAAGCUCGUAGUUGGAUCUACUAGACCAUUUCGUGGACGAGUCUCUCUUCGUACACGCUUCUCUCGUGCGGUUCCUUCGAUGAAGUUUCUGUCUUGCGGUGUUUGCGUUCCUCUCCUGAGUUGGUUCCAUUCGCCUCCCUGUAAGUUACCGAAUCUUGGAACGGUGGGGGCGGCUGUCCUAGAGUAUAGCUCGUCCGCGUUUGGUACAAUUAAAAUUUUGUCGGCUCGCUCGGAGUGCUCUUUACCGAGUGUUCCAGGGUGGCCGACACGUUCACUUUGAAAAAAUUAGAGUGCUUAAAGCGGGCCUUAUCAAAUGGCCUGAAUGUCUGUGCAUGGAAUGAAGUAACAGGACCUCGAUUCUGUUGUUUUUGUCGGUUUUAAUGAACCGAGGUAAUGAUUAAAAGGGACAGACGGUGGCAUUAGUAUUGCGACGCUAGAGGUGAAAUUCUUGGACCGUCGCAAGACUAACUACUGCGAAAGCGUUUGCCGAGAAUGUUUUCAUUAAUCAAGAACGAAAGUUAGAGGAUCGAAGGCGAUCAGAUACCGCCCUAGUUCUAACCCUAAACUAUGCUAACUAGCGAUCCGCCGGAGUCAUUCCCACGACCCGGCGGGAAGCCCCAGGGAAACCAAAGUCUUUGAGUUCCGGGGGAAGUAUGGUUGCAAAUCUGAAACUUAAAGGAAUUGACGGAAGGGCACCACCAGGAGUGGAGCCUGCGGCUUAAUUUGACUCAACACGGGAAACCUCACCAGGCCCGGACAUCAUAAAGAUUGACAGGUUGAGAGCUCUUUCUCGAUUUGAUGGGUGGUGGUGCAUGGCCGUUCUUAGUUGGUGGAGUGAUCUGUCUGGUUGAUUCCGAUAACGAACGAGACUCUACCUUACUAACUAGUCGGCGAAUCGUUACCCUGAGAUAGUUAGUCCGUAUAAGCUUGUUUUUUACCUAGGUAUAGUCUUACCACGAUCGUUGAGGUAAACUAGGCUAGCCGUUUUCGGUGAAUAUAGUUCCUUUUUCGUUCUUGGUAGCUUUACCGAAGUUGCUCGCCGAUGACGGCUACUACUGGGGGCGUCCGUCGCAAUAUAUCUUCUUAGAAGGAUCAGCUGCGUAUAGCAGUACGAGAAAGAGCAAUAACAGGUCUGUGAUGCCCUUAGAUGUUCUGGGCCGCACGCGCGCUACAAUGUAAGGACCAACGUGCUUUCCCCCUCCGAAAGGAAAGGGUAACCAGUUGAAACCCCUACUCGAUUGGGAUUGGGGAUUGCAAAUAUUUCCCAUGAACGAGGAAUUCCCAGUAAACGUUAGUCAUCAACUAGCGUUGAUUACGUCCCUGCCCUUUGUACACACCGCCCGUCGCUACUACCGAUUGAAUGAUUCAGUGAGGGCAUCGGACUGGCGCCUUCGGUUUUGAAACAUAGACCCUAGGGAGACGGAAAGAUGUCCGAACUCGAUCAUUUAGAGGAAGUAAAAGUCGUAACAAGGUUUC